GAGCCGCAUGCCGGCGCGGCCCGCCCCCGGGGGGCUCUUCCUCACGGGCUGCAGGCCUGGGCCGUGCCGGCUCCUCUCCUCCUCCGCCUCCACCUCCUCCACCUCUUUCUCCUCCGCCGGGAGGCUGGGACUUGUAGUGCAGCGAGAGGCGAACUACAGCUCCCACAAUGCCAGACAGUGCCGGAGCCACUUGUUGCAUGGAUGUCCUGGGUUGACCUUUGAUUAAGUUGCUUCUGAAACAUACUAGAGAGGCAGAGCAGCCUUGAAGUCUCUCUACAGCAGCAUUUUCACUCCUGUGAGCCACAUCAGGACCAUUCACAAGCGCCUCUGUCUCUCUCCAGCUGCAAUCCCACAAAGAGGGAUGAGAAUCGCAGCAACGACCAGCUCUGUUUGCAAACAGCUGCAAGUCCUUUUGUACAAGCCUGGUUUUGUCCCACGUCAAAGCUUCUCCAGGAGCCAACUCACCCUGUGUGCUUCAGUGCCAGGAGGUGUUUGAACCUGCUUUGAACAGACAUUCCACCUGUCAAACAGCAACCAGGAGGUGUUAACCCUGACAAGAAGCACGCUGAGGAACUGAGGAACUGAGGAACGGAGCAGCUCAGCCCUUGCAGGCUGUCAGGGCGACUGCGUGACUCCGGGUGCCGAAUUCUGCAUCUGAGGCUGAAAUUACACGCUAGGAAAAUUACAUGGUAGCUGAGAUAACAGCUUGCUGUUGACAAAAAGGGAAGAGCCUGCUCUUCACUGCCUUCAGUCACCAUCCACAUGCAGCCUGGCUGCAGUUUAUGCUGGUGCUGGCAUUGCCAUCACCCUGUGCUGAUUCACCUUGCCAUGAAGGCAAGAAAAGGCAGCUUCUUCUUGCCAGGAGGAGUCUGGAAGGAAACGUGUGCCCUGGUGAGAAGCGGCAGAUCCUCCCCAAAAUGAAAGGCUGCGAUUGGGAACGCGAGGGAAUGAGGUCAUGCUGUGGCGUUUGGUGUGAUAAACCUUCCUCACCCAGCACAGGGAUAACCAUGGCCCAGGAGGUUGGAAACAGCUGAUGCAGACUUGUGUGUGGGCAUUCCUCCUCAGUGAGCCUUGAUUGACCAGGGCAAUUCUAGGGGGCUGAAAAAGUGCCAGCUUGGUGCCUGUCUUCAGGAGAGGAGGCUGCAUGAUAUGGAGGAAAUGUAGAUUUAAUAACAUCAUAUCUGUGGAUAAUAUUCUGGAUAAACACCAAAAAUGGGUGUUGUGUCACUCACAUUAGUAAUGCCAGUCAGAGUCUAACAGAAAUCUCAUUUCAUGCUUCUAAAAGACAACAAAUAAUUCAAUUUCCUCCAAAAGGAAGGAAAGCUGAAAUAAACUUUUAAAAGGAUUUUUACUUAGAACUGCA
rnacentral:lncRNA from 1 species